UACGUAGGGGGCUAGCGUUAUCCGGAAUUACUGGACGUAAAGGGUGCGUAGGUGGUUUCUUAAGUCAGAGGUGAAAGGCUACGGCUCAACCGUAGUAAGCCUUUGAAACUGGGAAACUUGAGUGCAGGAGAGGAGAGUGGAAUUCCUAGUGUAGCGGUGAAAUGCGUAGAUAUUAGGAGGAACACCAGUUGCGAAGGCGGCUCUCUGGACUGUAACUGACACUGAGGCACGAAAGCGUGGGGAGCAAACAGGAUUAGAUACCCGCGUAGUCCCUGAGCGGG
rnacentral:rRNA from 1 species